rfam:Pan troglodytes isolate Yerkes chimp pedigree #C0471 (Clint) chromosome 12, whole genome shotgun sequence.
GGCUGAUCUGAGUACAGUGGUGUUUGUACCACUGUACCAAUUAUGAAUUUCUUUGUUCCUUUUCCACUCACACUGCUUCACUUGACUAGCUUUAA